CGUGAGGCAGCAUUAACAUGCAGUCGAACGGUGUCUUCGGACUUAGUGGCGGACGGGUGAGUAACGCGUGAGAAUCUAUCUUCUGGUCUAGGACAACCACUGGAAACGGUGGCUAAUACUGGAUGUGCCGAAAGGUGAAAGGCUUGCUGCCUGAAGAUGAGCUCGCGUCUGAUUAUCUAGUUGGUGGGGUAAGAGCCUACCAAGGCGACGAUCAGUAUCUGGUCUGAGAGGAUGAUCACCCACACUGGGACUGAGACACAGCCCAGACUCCUACUGGAGGCAGCAGUGGGGAAUUUUCCGCAUUGGGCGAAAGCCUGACGGAGCAAUACCGCGUGAGGGAGGAAGGCUCUUGGGUUGUAAACCUCUUUUCUCAUGGAAGAACACAAUGACGGUACCUGAGGAAUCAGCAUCGGCUAACUCCGUGCCAGCAGCCGCGGUAAUACGGAGGAUGCAAGCGUUAUCCGGAAUGAUUGGGCGUAAAGCGUCCGCAGGUGGCCUUGUAAGUCUGCUGUCAAAGAGCGAAGCUCAACUUCGUAAAGGCAGUGGAAACUACACGGCUAGAGUGCGUUCGGGGCAGAGGGAAUUCCUGGUGUAGCGGUGAAAUGCAUAUAAAAAAAAUGCAGCCGCG
rnacentral:rRNA from 1 species